rnacentral:rRNA from 1 species
AGAGUUUGAUCAUGGCUCAGGAUGAACGCUAGCGGCAGGCCUAACACAUGCAAGUCGAGGGGUAGAGUAAGCUUGCUUACUUGAGACCGGCGCACGGGUGCGUAACGCGUAUGCAAUCUACCUUAUACUAAGGGAUAGCCCAGAGAAAUUUGGAUUAAUACCUUAUGGUUAAUUUAGUUGGCAUCAAUUGAAUUAUAAAGAUUUAUUGGUAUAAGAUGAGCAUGCGUCCCAUUAGUUAGUUGGUAAGGUAACGGCUUACCAAGACGAUGAUGGGUAGGGGUCCUGAGAGGGAGAUCCCCCACACUGGUACUGAGACACGGACCAGACUCCUACGGGAGGCAGCAGUGAGGAAUAUUGGACAAUGGGCGCAAGCCUGAUCCAGCCAUGCCGCGUGCAGGAUGAAGCAUCUAUGGUGUGUAAACUGCUUUUGUACGGGAAGAAAAAAAGCUACGUGUAGCUUACUGACGGUACCGUAAGAAUAAGGAUCGGCUAACUCCGUGCCAGCAGCCGCGGUAAUACGGAGGAUCCAAGCGUUAUCCGGAAUCAUUGGGUUUAAAGGGUCCGUAGGCGGCCUUAUAAGACAGCGGUGAAAGUUUUUGGCUUAACCAAAAAAUUGCCAUUGAUACUGUAAGGCUUGAAUAUUUGUGAAGUAACUAGAAUAUGUAGUGUAGCGGUGAAAUACUUAGAUAUUACAUGGAAUACCAAUUGCGAAGGCAGGUUACUAACAAAUGAUUGACGCUGAUGGACGAAAGCGUGGGUAGCGAACAGGAUUAGAUACCCUGGUAGUCCACGCCGUAAACGAUGUCAACUAGUUGUUCGUCUUAUAAACAAGGUGAGUAACGCAGCUAACGCACUAAGUUGACCGCCUGGGGAGUACGGCCGCAAGGUUAAAACUCAAAUGAAUUGACGGGGGCCCGCACAAGCGGUGGAGCAUGUGGUUUAAUUCGAUGCAACGCGAAGAACCUUACCAUCCCUUGACAUCCAGUGAAUUAUCUAGAGAUAGAUAAGUGCCUUCGGGAACACUGAGACAGGUGCUGCAUGGCUGUCGUCAGCUCGUGUUGUGAGAUGUUGGGUUAAGUCCCGCAACGAGCGCAACCCUUAUCCUUAGUUGCCAGCACGUAAUGGUGGGAACUCUGGGGAGACUGCCGGUGAUAAACCGGAGGAAGGUGGGGACGACGUCAAGUCAUCAUGGCCCUUACGGGAUGGGCUACACACGUGCUACAAUGGCGCGUACAAUGGGAAGCAAGCUAGCGAUAGUAAGCGGAUCUCAAAAAGCGCGUCGUAGUCCGGAUCGGAGUCUGCAACUCGACUCCGUGAAGUCGGAAUCGCUAGUAAUCGUGGAUCAGAAUGCCACGGUGAAUACGUUCCCGGGCCUUGUACACACCGCCCGUCACACCAUGGGAGUGGGCUGCACCAGAAGUAGAUAGCUUAACCUUCGGGAGGGCGUUUACCACGGUGUGGUUCAUGACUGGGGUGAAGUCGUAACAAGGUAACCGUA